UACGGAGGGUGCAAGCGUUAAUCGGAAUUACUGGGCGUAAAGCGCACGUAGGCUGUAGUGUAAGUCAGGGGUGAAAUCCCACGGCUCAACCGUGGAACUGCCUUUGAUACUGCACAACUUGAAUCCGGGAGAGGGUGGCGGAAUUCCAGGUGUAGGAGUGAAAUCCGUAGAUAUCUGGAGGAACAUCAGUGGCGAAGGCGGCCACCUGGACCGGUAUUGACGCUGAGGUGCGAAAGCGUGGGGAGCAAAC
rnacentral:rRNA from 1 species